CUACGGGUGGCUCCAGUGAGGAAUAUUGCACAAUGGGGGGAACCCUGAUGCAGCAACGCUGCGUGGAGGACGACGCAUUUCGGUGUGUAAACUCCUUUUAUAUGUCAAGAAAAUGACGGUAGCAUAUGAAUAAGCACCGGCUAACUCCGUGCCAGCAGCCGCGGUAAUACGGAGGGUGCAAGCGUUACUCGGAAUCACUGGGCGUAAAGGACACGUAGGCGGGUUGGAAAGUCAGGUGUGAAAUCCUACAGCUUAACUGUAGAACUGCACUUGAAACUUCUAAUCUAGAGUAUGGGAGGGGGAGAUGGAAUUAGUGGUGUAGGGGUAAAAUCCGUAGAUAUCACUAGGAAUACCUAAAGCGAAGGCGAUCUCCUGGAACAUUACUGACGCUAAGGCGUGAAAGCGCGGGGAGCAAACAGGAUUAGAUACCCCGGUAGUC
rnacentral:rRNA from 1 species